CCUACGGGAGGCAGCAGUAGGGAAUCUUUCACAAUGGGCGAAAGCCUGAUGGAGCAACGCUGCGUGCAGGAUGAAGGCCUUCGGGUUGUAAACUGCUUUUAUAAGCGAGAAAUAUGAUGGUAACUUAUGAAUAAGGAUCGGCUAACUACGUGCCAGCAGCCGCGGUCAUACGUAGGAUCCGAGCAUUAUCCGGAGUGACUGGGUGUAAAGAGUUGCGUAGGUGGCAUAAUAAGUAGCUAGUGAAAUCUGGUGGCUCAACCAUUCAGACUAUUAGCUAAACUGUUAAGCUCGAGACCGUUAGGGGUAACUGGAAUGUCUAGUGUAGGAGUGAAAUCCGUAGAUAUUAGAAGGAACACCAAUAGCGUAGGCAGGUUGCUGGGACGGUUCUGACACUAAGGCACGAAAGCGUAGGGAGCAAACGGGAUUAGAUACCCUUGUAGUC
rnacentral:rRNA from 1 species